rnacentral:rRNA from 1 species
AUUGAACGCUGGCGGCAUGCUUUACACAUGCAAGUCGAACGGUAACAGGCCGCAAGGUGCUGACGAAUGGCGAACGGGUGAGUAAUACAUCGGAACGUGCCUAGAAGUGGGGGAUAACUACUCGAAAGAGUGGCUAAUACCGCAUGAGAUCUACGGAUGAAAGCAGGGGAUCGCAAGACCUUGUGCUACUAGAGCGGCCGAUGGCAGAUUAGGUAGUUGGUGGGAUAAAAGCUUACCAAGCCGACGAUCUGUAGCUGGUCUGAGAGGACGAUCAGCCACACUGGGACUGAGACACGGCCCAGACUCCUACGGGAGGCAGCAGUGGGGAAUUUUGGACAAUGGGCGCAAGCCUGAUCCAGCAAUGCCGCGUGCAGGAUGAAGGCCUUCGGGUUGUAACCUGCUUUUGUACGGAACGAAAAGCCCUGGGUUAAUACCCUGGGGUCAUGACGGUACCGUAAGAAUAAGCACCGGCUAACUACGUGCCAGCAGCCGCAGUAACAC